rnacentral:rRNA from 1 species
GACGUAGGACGCGAGCGUUGUCCGGAUUUAUUGGGCGUAAAGAGCUCGUAGGCGGCUUGUUGCGUCGACCGUGAAAACCCGCGGCUUAACUGUGGGCGUGCGGGCGAUACGGGCAGACUGGAGUACUGCAGGGGAGACUGGAAUUCCUGGUGUAGCGGUGGAAUGCGCAGAUAUCAGGAGGAACACCGGUGGCGAAGGCGGGUCUCUGGGCAGUAACUGACGCUGAGGAGCGAAAGCGUGGGGAGCGAACAGG